rnacentral:rRNA from 1 species
GACGAACGCUGGCGGCGUGCCUAAUACAUGCAAGUCGAACGCAGUGGGGACGGGUGAGUAACACGUGGGUAACCUCCCAUCAGAGGGGAUAAAACUUGGAAACAGGUGCUAAACCGAUACGUAUUGCUUGUCCCGCGUUGCAUUUGCUAGUUGGUGAGGUAACGGCGUACCAAGGCCACGAUGCAUAGCCGACCUGAGAGUGUGAUCGGCCACACUGGGACUGAGACACGGCCCAGACUCCUACGGGAGGCAGCAGUAGGGAAUCUUCGGCAAUGGACGAAAGUCUGACCGAGCAACGCCGCGUGAGUGAAGAAGGUUUUCGGAUAGUAAAACUCUGUUGUUAGAGAAGCGGUAUCUAACCAGAAAGCCACGGCUAACUACGUGCCAGCAGCCGCGGUAAUUC